CAGCAGCCACGGUAAUACGUAGGGUGCGAGCGUUAAUCGGAAUUACUGGGCGUAAAGCGUGCGCAGGCGGUUAUAUAAGACAGAUGUGAGAUCCCCGGGCUCAACCUGGGACCUGCAUUUGUGACUGUAUAGCUAGAGUACGGUAGAGGGGGAUGGAAUUCCGCGUGUAGCAGUGAAAUGCGUAGAUAUGCGGAGGAACACCGAUGGCGGAGGCAAUCCCUUGGACCUGUACUGACGCUCAUGCACGAAAGCGUGGGGAGCAAACAGGAUUAGAUACCCGCGUAGUCCCUGUCUCUUAUAC
rnacentral:rRNA from 1 species